AUUGAACGCUGGCGGCAGGCCUAACACAUGCAAGUCGAGCGGAGCGGCGGACGGGUGAGUAAUGCCUAGGAAUCUGCCUGGUAGUGGGGGAUAACGUCCGGAAACGGGCGCUAAUACCGCAUACUAUCAGAUGAGCCUAGGUGGGAUUAGCUAGUUGGUGGGGUAAUGGCUAACCAAGGCGACGAUCCCUAGCUGGUCUGAGAGGAUGAUCAGCCACACUGGAACUGAGACACGGCCCAGACUCCUACGGGAGGCAGCAGUGGGGAAUAUUGGACAAUGGGCGAAAGCCUGAUGCAGCCAUGCCGCGUGUGUGAAGAAGGCCUUAGGAUUGUAAAGUACUUUAAGUCGGGAGGCGUUACCGACAGAAGAAGCACCGGCUAACUCCGUGCCAGCCGCCGCGGUAAUAC
rnacentral:rRNA from 1 species